rnacentral:lncRNA from 1 species
UUCAGUAACUGGUUAGAUCAGCAUAUGUUUGAUACAGAAAGUUCCCAGGAAGGUAAGAGGUGGUCGUCACAGCCCCAGCCUUCUUCUGCCCGAUUUUCCGAAUCAAAACAACCAAAACCUUUGUACAGAACAUCCUCAUACCCCGAGCAGCAGCCAGUCCAGCAUCACUUCACCAGUGAACCAAUUUUAAUGCCCAAAUCAACGUUCACAUCAUUCCCACCUCCUGGAAACAGGUCCCAGCAGGGUUCACCACACCACCAGCUGAAUAUUUCUACUCUUGCUGGUGGUUCCCAGUUGCCCUUUUCUGCCCCAAACCUUUCUCCUUUAUCUAACUCUAAUCUUCUUAUGGCUGGUUUACCUCACGGGUUGCAUUAUGGAGGGAACAUGCCUCAGUUUACCAACCCUGGCCUUCCCUUCAAUAGCAGGGCACAAAAUCAUUGGGCCACGCAUUCUGGAGUUUU